AUGGCCGCUACGCGACAGGCACGCCCUGCGGAGGCGGUUGCGAGGGACCCGGCUCAGGACAAUGAUUGUGGGACUCUUCCUACGAGGCUGGAGGAGAUGAACGUGGAGAACGCGGUGGUGGCUCUCACCGACAGCAGCUGGUUGGAGGACUGCCAGAUGGGAUUCUCUUUCAUGGCCCAGCUACAACUGAUGCAUCUUAUCCAGGCCAUCGGCACGGUACCUAGGGACGCGGAGAGCAUGGAUGUGUUCACCUGGCCUUGUUCCAGCUCGGGCUCAUACUCUGCCAGAUCGACUUAUGCCAGACUCUGCGUGGACCGGAGGGGGUUUGACUCCACUUUCAUCGCGAUGAUCUGGGCGCUAUGGAAACAACGGAAUGCACGGGUCUUCAAUAGGAUAGAGCAACAACGUACCCCACAAAGCUUGUGUUGA
rnacentral:rRNA from 1 species